CGAUAGUCCCGAAGUCUCGGGAGGAAAUCCUUUUACUUUUUCCUUUAAAAAGUAAAAGAUUGUAGUGCAUAGCAGGAAAGAAC
rnacentral:sRNA from 3 species